rnacentral:rRNA from 1 species
CGUGGCUACGAGGACGACGCUGGCGGCGUGCUUAACACAUGCAAGUCGAACGCUGAAGCCCGAGCUUGCUCGGGUGGAUGAGUGGCGAACGGGUGAGUAACACGUGAGUAACCUGCCCAUGUCUCUGGGAUAAGCGCUGGAAACGGCGUCUAAUACUGGAUACGAGCAUCCACUGCAUGGUGAGGUGUUGGAAAGAUUUAUCGGACAUGGAUGGACUCGCGGCCUAUCAGCUAGAUGGUGAGGUAAUGGCUCACCAUGGCGACGACGGGUAGCCGGCCUGAGAGGGUGACCGGCCACACUGGGACUGAGACACGGCCCAGACUCCUACGGGAGGCAGCAGUGGGGAAUAUUGCACAAUGGGCGCAAGCCUGAUGCAGCAACGCCGCGUGAGGGAUGACGGCCUUCGGGUUGUAAACCUCUUUUGUCAGGGAAGAAGCGAAAGUGACGGUACCUGGAGAAAAAGCACCGGCUAACUACGUG